rnacentral:rRNA from 1 species
UGGGGAAUAUUGGACAAUGGGCGAAAGCCUGAUCCAGCCAUGCCGCGUGUGUGAAGAAGGUCUUCGGAUUGUAAAGCACUUUAAGUUGGGAGGAAGGGCAGUAAGCGAAUACCUUGCUGUUUUGACGUUACCGACAGAAUAAGCACCGGCUAACUCUGUGCCAGCAGCCGCGGUAAUACAGAGGGUGCAAGCGUUAAUCGGAAUUACUGGGCGUAAAGCGCGCGUAGGUGGUUCGUUAAGUUGAAUGUGAAAGCCCCGGGCUCAACCUGGGAACUGCAUCCAAAGCUGGCGGGCUGGAGUAGGGCAGAGGGUGGUGGAAUUUCCUGUGUAGCGGUGAAAUGCGUAGAUAUAGGAAGGAACACCAGUGGCGAAGGCGACCACCUGGGCUCAUACUGACACUGAGGUGCGAAAGCGUGGGGAGCAAACAGG